rnacentral:rRNA from 1 species
AGAGUUUGAUCCUGGCUCAGAAUCAACGCUGGCGGCGUGCCUAACACAUGCAAGUCGAACGAGAAAGGGAUCCUUCGGGAACCUGAGUAAAGUGGCGAACGGGUGAGUAACACGUGGGUGACCUGCCCUCUGGAGGGGGAUAACCCGAGGAAACUCGUGCUAAGACCGCAUAAGCCUUCGAGGUCAAAUUCAAAGGGAAAAGGAUUUAGCUUUCGAGCUAGAUCCUACCGGAGGAGGGGCCCGCGUCCCAUUAGCUAGUUGGUGGGGUAAAAGCCUACCAAGGCUACGAUGGGUAGCCGGUCUGAGAGGACGGACGGCCACACUGGAACUGAGACACGGUCCAGACUCCUACGGGAGGCAGCAGUGGGGAAUCUUGGGCAAUGGGCGAAAGCCUGACCCAGCAACGCCGCGUGGAGGAUGAAGGCCCUCGGGUCGUAAACUCCUGUCCUAGGGGAAGAAAAAAAUGACGGUACCCUUGGAGGAAGCCCCGGCUAACUCCGUGCCAGCAGCCGCGGUAAGACGGGGGGGGCGAGCGUUGUUCGGAAUUACUGGGCGUAAAGGGCGCGCAGGCGGCUUG